CUAGCGCGGUGGUCCCACCUGACCCCAUGCCGAACUCAGAAGUGAAACGCUGUAGCGCCGAUGGUAGUGUGGGGUCUCCCCAUGCGAGAGUAGGGAACUGCCAGGC
rnacentral:rRNA from 1 species